GAUGAACGCUGGCGGCGUGCCUAAUACAUGCAAGUCGAGCGAACGGACGAGAAGCUUUCUUCUCUGAUUUUAGCGGCGGACGGGUGAGUAACACGUGUAUAACCUACCUAUAAGACGGGGAUAACUUCCUGAAACCGGAACUAAUACCGGAUAAUAUUUUGAACCGCAUAGUUCAAGAGUUAAAGACGUUCUUGCUUUCACUUAUAGAUGGAUCCGCACUGCAUUAGCUAGUUGGUAAGGUAACGGCUUACCAAGGCAACGAUGCAUAGCCGACCUGAGAGGGUGAUCGGCCACACUGGAACUGAGACACGGUCCAGACUCCUACGGGAGGCAGCAGUAGGGAAUCUUGCGCAAAGGGCGAAAGCCUGACGGAGCAACGCCGCGUGAGUGAUGAAGGUCUUCGGAUCGUAAAACACUGUUAUUAGGGAAGAACAUAUGUGUAAGUAAAUGUGCACAUAUUGACGGUACCUAAUCAGAAAGCCACGGCUAACUCCGUG
rnacentral:rRNA from 1 species